rnacentral:rRNA from 1 species
AUUGAACGCUGGCGGCAGGCCUAACACAUGCAAGUCGAACGAGUGGCGGACGGGUGAGUAAUGUCUAGGAAACUGCCUGAUGGAGGGGGAUAACUACUGGAAACGGUAGCUAAUACCGAAUACACUCAGAUGUGCCCAGAUGGGAUUAGCUAGUUGGUGGGGUAACGGCUCACCAAGGGGACGAUCCCUAGCUGGUCUGAGAGGAGGACCAGCCACACUGGAACGGAGACACGGUCCAGACGCCUCCGGGAGGCAGCAGUGGGGAAUAUUGCACAUUGGGCGCAAGCCUGAUGCAGCCAUGCCGCGUGUAUGAAGAAGGCCUGCGGGUUGUAAAGUACUUUCAGCGUGGAGGCGUUACCCGCAGAAGAAGCACCGGCUAACUCCGUGCCAGCAGCCGCGGUAAUAC